GGGCUCGUAGCUCAGCGGUUAGAGCAGCGGACUCAUAAUCCGUUGGUCCCAGGUUCGAAUCCUGGCGGGCCCACCA
rnacentral:tRNA from 1 species